rnacentral:rRNA from 1 species
AACGAACGCUGGCGGCAUGCCUAACACAUGCAAGUCGAACGAGACCUUCGGGUCUAGUGGCGCACGGGUGCGUAACGCGUGGGAACCUGCCCUUAGGUUCGGAAUAACUCCCCGCAAGGGGUGCUAAUACCGGAUAAUGUCUUCGGACCAAAGAUUUGUCGCCUUUGGAUGGGCCCGCGUUGGAUUAGCUAGUUGGUAGGGUAAAAGCCUCCCAAGGCGACGAUCCAUAGCUGGUCGGAGAGGAUGAUCAGCCCGACUGGGACUGAGACACGGCCCAGACUCCGACGGAAGGGAGGAGUGGGGAAUAUUGGACGAGGGGCGAAAGCGUGAUCAAGCAGUGCCGCGGGAGUGAGGAAGGCGGUAGGGUUGUAAAGCUCGUUUAGCCGGGAUGAGAAUGACAGUACCGGGAGAAUAAGCACCGGCUAACUCCGUG